rnacentral:lncRNA from 1 species
AGCAGCAGCCGCCGCCGACUGAGGAGCCGCAGCCAGGGAGCCAGCCAGCGCCGCCCAGUGCCGAGUGCGCAGCGGCCGCGCACGGAAACAGCCGAGCUAGGCCCGGAGCAGCUCGAGCGGCCCCGCCCCCGCGCUGGGGACGGAACUUGCCGAAGACCUUCGGGUUUCUUCGGGCGACGAGAAGGGGUUCCGCGGGGAGAGGGAAGGCGAAGGCGGGCUGAGCCCGGCGCCGGGAGGAGUGGUCUAAACUCCACCGCGGCUUUCGCAUCGGAGACGUGUCUUUAGGAAGCAGAGAGGGUUCGAUUCUGGACUCCGCCCAUGACUCACUUCUCUUGUAAAGAAAGAGUUGUCCUUCCUGGUACUCCAGGUACCCUACUGUUUUCUUAUGGACUUUGCCCUUAACGAGUCUCCUUUCCUUCUGUUACUCUCAACCUUUCCUUCUCUACCGGCUCUUUCUUACUGGUAUUUAAACAUGCUUAAGUCUUUCAAUUCUUUAAAAAGAUUUCUCUUCUCCCUAAAUUGCUCUCCAACAACUGCAGCUGUCUCUUACCCCAUGGACAGUCUUUCAUGUCCCACCUCCCAGCCCUCUCCAGUGUCCCCACCGCUCACCUGAAGUGGCUCUGAAUUGUCCACAGACAAGCUUCAUGACUGUAAAUGCAGCGGAUCAUUUUCAGUCCUCAUUUUACAAGCCCUCAUCCCAGUAUUUGACGCGAUUGACCACAGUUGCUUCCAAAUACCCUCUUCCCUCUGGUCUUAUGUCCCAGGUUUCCUCCCUACCUGAGUUUGCUCUUUAACAACCAGCUCCUCCUUGAUCUACCUCUUACACAUUGGAAUCAUGCUGAGCUGAACCCUGGCCCUCUUACUGAGUCUCCCCAUACACUUUCCUAGGUGGUCUUAUGCUCUCCCAGCAGCAUCAAAUACCCUCUGUCAAAGACUCUUCAAUCCAUAACUCAAGCCUAGAUCUUGCUCUGGAAUCCUACAUUCAUAGUUCCCAGCAUACUGCCUUUGGUACACUUUCAUUUGGAUGACUUAGGGCAUUUCAAACUCAACCCGUAUAUCAUAAUUCCUUCAAAACGCUCCUCCCAUAGUCCCUGGUUCAGUAAAGGGUAUCUUAACAUCUACCCAGUUCAUGCCAGAAACCUAGCACACCUCCAACACACAGCAGAAUCACCUACAUCUGUCUGCUCCCUGGAAAAUUGGAUUUGUGACCUCUCUCUGUUCCCAUGACCAUUUUUUCAUUCCCAUUCUAGUCUAAACCACUGUUGCCUCUUGCUUGAAGUCCCACAGUAACCCAUUCAGGUCCUCCAAAACUGCUCUUGCCUCGUUCCAAUACAUUUGCCAUACUGCUGCCAGAGUAAUUUUUUAAAUAUAAAUCUGAUCAUUGACCUGCUUAAAUUCCUCCAGUGGUCUCCCUUUGCUUACCACACAUUGUCUAAGCUCCAUUAUCUGUACUUGUCUUUCUCUCCAGCCUCUCCAUCUGUCCCCCUAGCUGCCUGCACUCCUGCCAUAGUAUUUUAAUUUUUUCCAGGCUCUCCUCUUUUUAUUCCCUACUGUAGGCUCUCACUUCAGGGCAUUUACACAUGCCCUUCCCUUCCCCUGGAAUUUUUUUCUGUCACCCAUUCCUCCUACUUAACUGUAACUUAUCACUUUCUUUUCCAAUUCCUACUUCUCAUUAUUUGUUUAGUGUCCAUGUAAUUGUGCAGGUAAGGACCACGUCUGUCUUGUUCACUACCAGCUUUUCCUCUCCCUAGCAACAGCACAAUGUCUAGAAUAUAGUGGUACUUGUUAGGUAUUUAUCGAAUAAAUAGUGAAUUUCUGAGUGGUCCCGGGCAAAGUUUUCUCAACAUUUGAAUUCAAAUCCUGGCUCUCAGUGAGUUCAGGUUGCCGUAGUAAAGUACCAUAUAGACUGGUGGCUUAUAAACAACAGAAAUGUAUUUCUCAUAGCUCUGGAGGCUGGAUAUCUGAAAUCAGGCUGCCAACAUGGUCAGGUUCUGGUGAAGGCCCUCUUCAGGGUUGUAGAUGGCUGUUUUUUCCCUUUACCUCACAAUGCAGAAAGAGAGCAAGAGCUCUCGGGUUGCUUUUAUAAGGCACUAAUCCCAUUCACAAGGGGUUUACCUCCCAAAGGCCUCAUCUCCUAAUACCAUCACAUUGAGGGUGAAGAUUUCAAAAAUACGAAUUUGCAGGAGACAGGGGUGGGGGUGAAUUCAUUGCACUGGCUCAGCCACUUAUUAGCUAAUGACUUUGGGCAAAUUGUUCACUCUUGUGCCUCAGUUUUCCCAUCUGUAAAAUAAAGAUGAUAAUAGCACCUCAUAGUGUUAUUGUAAUGAUUACGUGACAUAAUACAUGUGAAGUAUACUUGGAACAAUGUUAGGAAAAAUGUUGCCUAUUACUAGCUUUUACUUGGAUAGCUUAUCCUCGUGUCAAAUACGUUUUCAAAAUUGAGUUCAUCUUCCUGCUCUUCUUACCGUGGCUCUAUACAUGAUAUCAAAAAACUUUGGAAUUAUUUACUCAUAACCUAUAAUUAUCACCCACCAAAUAUGGUGAGUUUUUAUUUAAAAAUGUCCUCAUAUUCAUUCUUCCUUUUUAUAUACACUAACCUUCAUUUAGACUCUAUUAUCAUUGAUUAUUUUGCUAACUUCCUAGGUGUCUUCUAACUGGAGGCUAGCUUUCCCUAUUCAUUUGGGCCCUUACUGUCAGACCAGUGGGCCUCAAACAAUUAUUAAAACAUAUAUUCUUCUUGACUUCUGCUCAAAUGACCUCCGUUCCCACCUAACUUUGUUCAUUCAUUUAUUCAAUCAUCCAUUCAUUCCAAUGCAAGUUAUUUUACUACUAACAUUUUGGGUAUACUCUAGAUUUUCAGCCUCUCUACUUUGACAUUUCUCUCUUGGAUAUUCUCUCUUCGGAUAUACUCUAGCAUUUUCAAUCUCACUAUCUGACAUUUCUCCUUUCAGCAUCCAAGUUUUGUCUCUGGGAUUUGGAAGCCACCUGCAUUUUAAAAGAAAUUUUUUCCAGGAUCAGUCUCUCGCUGUGUUGCUCAGGCUGAAGUGCAGUGGCUGUACACAGGAGCGGUCAUCGCAUGUGACAGCCCCACACCCCUGGGCUCAAGUGACUCUCUUGCCCUCAGCCUCCUGAGUAGCUGGGACUACAGGUUUAUGGGAUGCAGGAUAAUGGAGCAUGCUCUAUCUGGGACAUUGCUAGUCUUAUGACAGAGGGAGAAGACAGCGAUGAGUUUUCGAAGAACUCCAGGAAGUGGCUGCAGAGCAAAGUAGGAUCCUGAUACUGAGCUCAAGUGAUUCAGAAUGAAAAGACCUUGGCACAGACCUGUUAAGGAAGCUCCAUAUAAGGUGAAGAAAACAACAUGCUCAGCCAUGUCCUUGCCUUCUGCACACGGUAGUGCAUUCACUGCCUGAGAAUUCAAGGCUAAAACAAAAAGAGGAGCUUUUGUUCCAACAGAUAAGUACUUACCUUUUUCAAAAAAUGCAUAAGCUGUCCUGGGUGUUUAGCAGUUAUUCGCACAGCUUUCCAAAGACUCACAGCAUUUAAAAGCUAACUCUACAGAGAUUCAACAGCUUCUUCCAGAUCCCACCACAGUGGAAAAGAACUCCGGUGUCCUGGCUCCCUGUCCAGCUCUUCUCUCUCCCCUUCCAGCUGCCAGUUCAGCUUUAAGAAGUUCAUUCUCCACAUUCAGAUGCAGGCAAAUGCGUUUGACUUGAGCAUAUUGAUUUCAGGCAGGUGAGAGUGGAUGUAGCGAUUCAGCUUGACAAAUAUUUAGAUCAGUUAAGUGUCCUUUAUAAAGAAGCACUUGAACUCAGUGUUUCCUUUACCCGACCAUUUCACUCCACAAGCUACCUCCCCAGCAUAAAAUAUUCAAAUUAUUUCUAAAUUUCAUCUACUGAAAAAAUACUUCUAGGCCCUAUAGCUACAUGAUAUCUCCACUGGGAGCCCUGUCCUUUCCAUGCCCUGGGAAAACCCGAUCUAAAGCAGAUUUAAAUGACUCAGCAGUAGGACUCAGGUCUCUGUCUCUGCCUGCUUACUUGGGGAGUGCUCCAGCCUUAGGGGCUCUCUUGCACUCCAACAUAGGAAAGAAAUUAUCGAUGGCUCCAUUCCCCAGCAUUUGAGACUUUUCUUCCCACAGACACAUUCCUGAGGACACCAGUCAUGGGUAAAGAACUCCACUGGGGUCAGCGUUGGAUCCCACUAGGCAGUUUAGGACUUGUAAGUAGAGUAGUGUGGACUUGGUGUUCCCAGAGCCUCUCACUCAUGAUUCAUGGCUCUCCACCCCAAGCAUCGGAACUUGCCCAACUUCACCACAGAAGGAAACAGACUGGCCACCGGGGUUGGCUGAGUCAGAAUACCAGCCAUGUGGCAUGUCGCAUGGGGCAAGAGCUGUGCUGCCCAUGGGAGUCCAGAGAAGGAGCACACUAAGGACCAACACCAGCUCUGCAGAUGAGCAAUAUCAUCACAACUAACCAAUUGAUCAAUUAUUCAUUCAGUCAUUUAAUGAGAAGCUACUGUGUACCCAUCCUUUCCUUGGCCUUCUGGACAGUUAGACAUGGUGCCUGUCUUCAGAUUGCUCACACACCAGUUGGAGACACAAAAGUUACAUGCAGUAAGCAACAAUCCCUAAAUGCUCAACAGCUCACCAAGCCUGAAUAGAGAGGAAGAGACCUUGGUGUGGCCUGGAAGGAAAGAGCAGCUUUGGGAAGGAGUGGCAUAAAAGAGAGAACUUAAUUCAGCAGUUUUUCUUCCUCUAUGCCCAGAUGGUAUUACAUGUGUUACUGGCCAGUGUUGGGUAACAGUGGCACUGAUGUGGUCACUAAGGGGCCCUUGGUACCAGGGCUGGGACAAGGGUGGGGAAAGCAAGACAUCUAGGCCCUUCAAGAAUGAGCACCUCCCUAAAUGAUGUGCGUAGGUUGUCCCUCCCUGGCCUCUACCUAGUCCCAGUAUGCUUUCUCUGCCUCUCUCUAUUUCAUUCUCUAGCUCCACCUUCUUUUUAUUAGUGUUAUUUUUUCUCCCUCCUGGUUGUUUUUCUCCAUUCUUUCUCUUCUUUUUUUUUUUUCUUUUCCUUUUUACUAGUCUACUUCUAAUACUCUUCCAGUGCCCCUCCGUAAUCCAUUCCAGAAGUUGCUGUAUUCUUAUGUAGACUGGUGCUAGAGGUCAUGGGGUGGAUGUAAACAAUGUCUGCAACCUGCCUUAGCAUUGUUAUUUUUAAUCCUGUGAUAACAAUAGUACUGACACAUAUUACAAGUCAUGUCUUUGGAUCUAGUUUCUGAGAAAGCCCAAGUUCUUUUUAUGAAAGAACACCCAUGUAAAGGAAUGAGAUGAUCUAAGUUACAUGAAGAAAUUAACUGCAACAAAAUGAUAUUAAUACAUUUGAUAUUCUUGGUCAACUAAUGCUUCUAAACAUCUUCCCUUCAGAGCAUAAGCUCCUUUCUCAUCUUAUUCUCCACAGACUCCUCUCCAUUGGAUCUCUAGCACCUAGAAUAGAGCUGGGUACACAUGAUGAGGUGCUUAAUACGUAUUUGUCAAAUUGAAUGUCAAGUUUUAGGAGUUUAAAGAGUGUUUUCAAAUGGGGAGAAGCCGAGACACAAAUAGUCUCAGGAAUGAGAUGAAAUUAUUUAACCAAUUGGAGAUGAAAUUCGAAAUGGAAACUAUGACAUGACUCAACAUCCUCAAGCCCUGAAGUAAUAAUUAGCACAUAAAGUUGGUCUGUUAUGGACUUUGUGUUGUGCUCCCUGCAAAAUUGGUAUGUUGAAAUCCUAACCCCCAAUGUGAUGGCAUUGGGAGGUGGAGCCUUUGGGAGGUCAUUAGGUCGCAAGGUUGGGGACUCAUGAAUGGGAUUAGUGCCCUCAUAUGAAGGAUCAGGAGAGAGCUUGCUUUUUCCUUUUUCUGUUCUCUACUUUGUGAGGAUACAGAGAGAAGACAGCUGUCUGCAAACCAGAAAGAGAGUCCUCACUGCACUUCAUAUCUGCCAAUGGAUCCUUGCUCUUGAACCUCCCAACCUGCAGAAUCAUGAGAAACAAACAUUGUGUAAGCCACCCACUCUACAGUAAUUUGUUCUAGCAGACCGAGCUGACUGAGGUAUGGUCUCAUCACGUAACCACUUUUAACCUUAGUCUUUCUAUCUGUAAAGUAAGUGGGUUAGAGAAAUCAUUCUAGAAGAUGUUUCUGCUUUAAAACAAAUUCUUCUAUUUCCUUUCCAAUGUGAAGUUUGGGUGGUCCCAUUGUAAAUGACUCCAUUUGAUUUUGGUUUUGAAUUUAUUGUCUUUCUUCCCACUUUCAUCUCAGGUACUUAGUGCCGGUAUGUGCUUUUGAUCACAGCCUCAGAAAAUAGAACAGUGUGUGGCAUUGGGAGGUGGGGCCUUUGCUUAGGAGCUUUGAAAACAGAAGUAAUUUUCUUGUCUGCAUGUUCACAGUUUAAGCCUAAGUUCUUUAAGUUUUAGUCUGUAUUAGUAUUGGUUUCAAACAUUUAAUGUAUGGAUUAUUCCUUUGGUUCCUGUAUUCCUGCUUUCAUAGGCAUAUUGACUUGUUAAAUAAGGAAAAUUAACUGAACUGUAGCCUAAGAAUCAGAAUCUUCAGGGCUAAAAGGAAAAAUGUAGAGUUUGGUCACAUCUCCACCCUGCUUUCUUCUGGGACCCUCGGGGUAAGGUAGCUGGUAUUUGGUUGACAUGGUCCAGGUAUUGAAUAGAUGUCCAUGCUUUCCUUUUCUUCAAGAAUGAGGAAGUUGUCUUCAGAUGCUGAAGUCGGAGUCUACAUAAAUAGCUGGGAUAUUAUAUCUGAGCAACC